rnacentral:rRNA from 1 species
CCCAGACUCCUACGGGAGGCAGCAGUGGGGAAUAUUGCACAAUGGGGGAAACCCUGAUGCAGCGACGCCGCGUGAGCGAAGAAGUAUUUCGGUAUGUAAAGCUCUAUCAGCAGGGAAGAAAAUGACGGUACCUGACUAAGAAGCUCCGGCUAAAUACGUGCCAGCAGCCGCGGUAAUACGUAUGGGGCAAGCGUUAUCCGGAUUUCCUGGGUGUAAAGGGAGCGCAGGCGGCUUGGCAAGUCUGAUGUGAAAGGCUGGGGCUCAACCCCAGGACUGCAUUGGAACCUGUUAGGCUAGAGGGUCGGAGAGGUAAGCGGAAUUCCUAGUGUAGCGUUGAAAUGCGUAGAUAUUAGGAGGAACACCAGUGGCGAAGGCGGCUUACUGGACGACAACUGACGCUGAGGCUCGAAAGCGUGGGGAGCAACCAGGAUUAGAUCCCCGUGUAAU